CUAAAACUAAGAAGCUAGGAGUGGAGGGGGCUGCAGUGUAGGUAUCUGUACUCAUUUCUAGCUUUAGAGAAGGAAGGGAGGAAGUAAGGGAGAGAUUAGAAGCCCUGGGGAAAACCUGUACCCAGAUGAGGGUGGAAAAAGAGCCUGAUAGAGACAAAGUGGAAAGCAGCCCAGGAAAACAGUAGCAGAGUUUGGGACAGUGCAGACCUUGUUUUCUGGUUGUAGGGUCCCUGCGCUGGGGAAGUGGCACAGACCAGGCAGAGGAGCCAGAAGACUGUCUAGGACAGUUGUCCAGUGGGAUACUGGUGCCCCUAUGCGAGAGGAUUAUAGUGACUUUGCUGGAUGGCCAAGCCAUGAAGAGAGACCACAUGAACUGCAGAGAGAGGGAUGUGGCAAGAACAAGCAGUAGAAGGGGGUAUUGGACCUGGAAGGAGUGAAUCCCCAGAACAGCUAGGAGCAGGUGCCCUAGCAGUGCCUUACAAACAGCACAGGCUUGAAAAAUCCCCAAAGACCUGCUGCCUACAUUGGCAAAGCAUUUUCUUCUGAUUUCUGCUGAAAUAUCUGCUAGCAGGGAUCUCCAUUCUGAAUUUUAAAAGAGGACCCUGCCACAUACUUCAGCAGAGCCAUGUGUAAGCAAAACCACCAUUCUCAGUGGCAGCAAAAGCUAUAUUCCCAGCAUUACUGUUACUUAAAGAUCUAAAAGAGGGUCAGAUCCAGACUAACACGGCUACCCCUCUGAUACUUCACUGAGGUGUAUGCACCUCACACUGGCAGUGUAAAAGUUAAAGGAGCUAGAGAGGCAUCUGAUGGCACCUGGAGGGACUCUGUUAACCGGGCAUGGGCAGGACUGAAUGUGAACUGGCCGGAAGGAUAAGUUAUGAGAAGAAGCAGAUCACCAAGUGCAGCUGUCGGCAGGGGGCACCCAAGGAGGAGAGUCUGCUAUGCCAUUCCCAGCCAUGAGGGGGCGCGCCAGCUGGUGAACAAGAACAACUUCUCCUUAAUCAAGGUGACUGCUGAUGCUAGGCUCCUGCUGGCAAAAAUAAAUAAAUAACCAGGUCUGGGCUCCGCUCCUGCGCUCUCCUGAUUACUUUGAGCUCUCUGGUGCCAGUAAGCGGGACAUUGGAUCCCAGUGUAAUUCUCCUGUACAAAUGCAUUUAAACAACUAAUUAAGAGGAGAAAAUUAUGACAUGAAUUUGUGUACAACAGGGAGGAGGAGGAAGGGAGGCUGGCUGCAAAUAUUGGAGCACAUCAUUUAAAGGGAAUAACUAGAAAAGAACUCGUGACUGAUUUAAAAUGUUGUGAUCCCUGCUGUGUCUCAUUUCCUAAAAGCAGGAUAUGCUGUCUGGUGUAACAUCUGGUUUUUCUAUUUCUCUGCGCUAUGCAAAGAUCCUAGAGCUGGUUUUGAUUUUUUUGGACUUAGUUUAAAUUUACACUUUAGUUAUUGUUUAGGCUCAGUGAUGUCAUGCUUUGGUGUCCAUUGAAAUCAAAGACACCCAAACUUCUGAUUUUUAUAGCAUUUCACUGGCAUUUGAACUUAAAAACCUAAAUGUGAGAGAGAGUUAAACUUCAAAGGGUUUCUUGACUGUAUUUCUCUCUAGUGCAGCUUCAGAAGUAAAAUGGUAAA